GGCUAACCUACAGAACGCUAAAACGCACCCUGAUAAUGUAUAUAACAUAUAUUAUGUAUAAACAUAUAUGAUAAUGUACAGUGUAUGAGUGAUGUUUGAAUUCAUAAUUCUUUAGUUUUUUCCAUUUUAGAACUGUAUAAAAAAGUGACUUUAGACGUGUUCUGUCCUUUCUCACUUUGACCGUGUCAAACUAGGAACCAGUCAAAUGUCCGCCGGAUGCACACAGCUGUCAAGAUGAACGAGGUGGUGGUCAACAAGUCGCAGGGAGCUCAACUAGUUCUGCUGAACAUGCCCGGACCGCCCAGGAACAGAGGAGGAGACGAGAACUACAUGGAGUUCCUGGAGGUUCUCCUCGAGGAUUUGAACCGGGUCCUCAUGGUUCGAGCCGGUGGCCGCGAAGUCAUCACCAUCUACUCUUAAAUAA